rnacentral:rRNA from 1 species
GAGAAAACUUUAGAUAUGAUCCAGAGUACCACGGGACACGUGAAACCCUGUGGGAAGCAGGAGGGACCACCCUCCAAGGCUAAAUACUACCUAGUGACCGAUAGCGUAUAGUACCGUGAGGGAAAGGUGAAAAGAACCCCGGGAGGGGAGUGAAAUAGAACCUGAAACCCUGCACUUACAAGCUGUGGAAGCACAUUUCUUGUGUGACCGCGUACUUUUUGUAGAACGGGCCAACGAGUUACGUUAAGUAGCAAG